AGGGUCUGAUCUCUGCACCCCGGGCCCCCGCGCAGACCCGCGGACGAGCGCUGGGUGGGGAUUUCAACCUGCUCCAGCUGAUGUGCGCGGGGUUUGCACCCCGGGGAGGCGAGGGAGAGAGUCCGGCCACGUCCUGCCAGGCCCCGCCCGCGCCCCCGCUGCCCUCCAGCGCGGAACCCAGGUCCCAGGAGACGCGAGGCGCCCAAGGCCCCGGGAUUCCGAGCCAGUCAACCCCGGGCCGCGACGCUCUGGGAACCACACCCGUCCAGGAAGGCACCUUGGCCAAAGCCGGCUCCUUCGCAGAUGACCCGGGCCAGGGUCCGAGCGCCAGGCUGUGACCCCGCGAGGCUGUUCCACGCUGGCCGCGAGAGACGGAGGGCAGGAGGGGCCCGAAUAGGACAGAGAGAGAGAGAGAGAGAGA
rnacentral:lncRNA from 1 species